rnacentral:lncRNA from 1 species
AUAAGCAUACUCAAUUUAAAAUCAAAUAGGACUUCUUUUGGGUUGCAUUUAAGAAUUUUGGUUCAAGUUAGGAUAGUAUAUGAGAUACAAGUGGUUACACAUUUCCUUAAGCACUUCACUUAUCAUUUCUUGGCACAAAUUUUGCCAUAAAACAUCAUAGAUGGAACCCUCGGAGGUUGUUCUCUUUGUUGGAGGCUAGAGAGACUUGCCAUCACUCUUUAUCGUCAAUUUCAUUUUUUGUCUUCAUUGUUCACGAUACUUGCAUUUCUUUCUUUUUCUUCCAUGAAGAUCAUCUUUUUUCUUUAUUUUUGACACCAUGGUAUCUCUUUAGGUUUCUCAACUCUUCCCCUAAACUUGGCUUUAAGCCACGAGAUAAUUAUGAGUGCAUAGGAAGGUUCAGGGUGCCAAGAAGAGAUUAUGAUCAUAAAUAGUGAAAAGCUUGUAGCAAUGUUUCCAAAAGAACUAGGCUAACGGUUCAAAGGGUGUUGUCUCGAGAUAAUGAUUAUACAGUGGUAACUGAAAGCUCAAAUGGUCCAAGGAAAGCUUACAGUCGUCUUUCAAACCAAGAAAACUCAAUAUUUUAGCUUGAAGCACAUUCAGGGCAAGUUCUAGAAUAUCCACUCAAGCACUUGGACUAGCAACAAAGUUUUACCUCACCUAUCAUGCAAAUAGACCGUAAAAGAAGAUAGAUUUUAAAAUUCACAAUGAUCACAAUCGAGUUAUAAGUUCUCUAUGGUCUACUCAACCACCUAAUAAUUUCUAAAGACAACACAAGAGCCUCAAAAUCACUUUACUAGAAUUAGUUCCUCAAAAUUGAUUCAUAACAACCUUGUCUUAAAUCAUAAGCGCCCGGUUACAUAUGUUGGAGCCACAUGAAGUAUAAAGAACAUAUUUUCAUGGAAGAGCUUAAUUAGGGAUUUUAUUCAUUACUAUUUACAACUAUUAUUACCUAAACAUGUAACAGACUAAUUUUAUCAAGAAAGCUUUCACACUAACCAUUUAAGAAAAAAGUCACCCGAUUCACACAAGAGACAACCUUUGAAAAGAAUAGUGACAUUAAGAAACCCAAAGGAUUAUUGAAAUUAACAAGAAAUAAAAAUAUAAUUAUUUAAACUACUAAAGAAAACUAUUGAUUACUACUAAAUGUAUCAAACUAAUACAAACUAUCAAAUAGUAUCAUCAAGUUAUUACAUAUCAAAUGCAAUUAAUUAUGAGCCAAGUUGGACUAUCACUAUCUCUAGUUCAAUCCGUGAAUUAAACAAAUCAAUCCCUCAACUAGUUUAAUUCCUUGUUAACCAAGUUUUUCUAGAUUUAUUUCGUCUUUGUAAAGCAAGAACAAGGUAAAAAAGGCAUGAAUAAAUAUUUGCAACUAUCAAUUCUAAAAUUUAUAGCAUAAGCAAGGCUAAUUACACUUAACCCAAUCGAUAACAAACAUAAUACCUAUAAGAUUUAUACACUAAAGUUAAAUUAUAACUCUAGAUAAAAGUCUAGCUACUCAUACUACAAGUCAUGGAAGGAGAGAACAUGAUGAAAUUUAAAAUAUAAAAUCAAAAAUAAAGAAAGAGUAGAAUAUCUUCUCCAAUUGUCGCUCCCACUUUCUCAAAAUAGCUAAAAGUAACUAACUCUAAAAAAGUUAUAAGUUAUAUUUAUAGGACUCAUGAAAUCUCUAACAAAAUUGCCCUUCAGAGGGUUAGCAGCCAUUAAAUGCGUUUUUGCAGUCUACACUUUGUUGGAUUAACAUUUGUAGGAGAACAAUUUAAAGAUAGAAGACCUUUAAAUGUAAGAAGGAAAGAGAUUUUGUUUNNNN